rfam:Gossypium hirsutum cultivar TM-1 chromosome 9, whole genome shotgun sequence
AUACCAUGAUGAGCGUAUUUUCAUAAUAAUUCCUUAAAUCGUUCUCAUGCCUCAUACAAGGACUCAUUAUCAAAUUGCUAAAAUGUAGUAAUUUCAUUUCCAAGAUU